GACGAACGCUGGCGGCGUGCCUAAUACAUGCAAGUAGAACGCUGAAGGAGGAGCUUGCUCUUCUGGAUGAGUUGCGAACGGGUGAGUAACGCGUAGGUAACCUGCCUGGUAGCGGGGGAUAACUAUUGGAAACGAUAGCUAAUACCGCAUAACAGUAGAUGUUGCAUGACAUUUACUUAAAAGGUGCAAUUGCAUCACUACCAGAUGGACCUGCGUUGUAUUAGCUAGUUGGUGGGGUAACGGCUCACCAAGGCGACGAUACAUAGCCGACCUGAGAGGGUGAUCGGCCACACUGGGACUGAGACACGGCCCAGACUCCUCCGGGAGGCAGCAGUAGGGAAUCUUCGGCAAUGGACGGAAGUCUGACCGAGCAACGCCGCGUGAGUGAAGAAGGUUUUCGGAUCGUAAAGCUCUGUUGUAAGAGAAGAACGAGUGUGAGAGUGGAAAGUUCACACUGUGACGGUAUCUUACCAGAAAGGGACGGCUAACUACGUG
rnacentral:rRNA from 1 species